UGAAUGCAUCAUACGGAGUCGCGAAAGA
rnacentral:sRNA from 1 species